GUUCUCCAGAUGGACUUGUUCUCCAAGCUACAAAAGAAACAGAUCGAUUGGUUCGUGAUGGUUUGUUUAUGAAAAAGAAGAAUAAGAAGAAGCAAGAACCUGUUGUGACCAAAGCUGAUCUCAUUGCAGCAGGAGACCACUUAGGGUGUAGAGAUUUUAGGAGAACUAUGAUUCCAGAAACAACAGGAGUCGACAUCGAUGUCCCUGAAUGAAGUUUAAAUCCGUUGAACGCACCAGGAUCAAGCGGACUCACUGCCGCGAGUAUGCUAACACCCGGUGCUGCUAUAUCAGGCUACAAAGUAAAAACAUGACCAGAUAUAUAAGACCAUGUACAUAGGAGAUUUUUUGUGGGUAUCAUAAGCCUAAAAAUAUUAAAUUAAUAGACAAAGCAACUGAUUUGGACUUGAGAAGUAUCACUGGAGUGAUAAUUUCUGAUACCAGUCUCUAAUGACGUGGCGGCUUGUAAUUAGUCGAAAAAACGCGUUUUUGUGGAAAAUGAGAGAAAAAAAAAUUAUUUGCUCUCGACUAUCGCUCCAGUAGCCGAUGCUAGCAUGUAAUUUCGAUUUU
rnacentral:sRNA from 1 species